UCCACCCACCUCAGGCUCCCAAAGUGCUGGGAUUACAGGCACCUGCCACCAUGCCCGGCUAAUUUUUGUAAUUUUAGUAGAGACAGGGUUUCACCAUGUUGCCCAGGCUGGUUUCGAACUCCUGACCUCAGGUGAUCCACCUGCCUCGGCCUCCCAAAUAGCUGGGAUUACAGGCACACGCUACCACACCCUGCUGAUUUUGUAUUUUUUGUAGAAAUGGGGUUUCACCAUGUUGGCCAGGCUGGUCUCUUAACUCCUGACCCCAAGUGAUCUGCCUGCUUCGGUCUCCCAAAGUGCUGAGAUUACAGACAUGAGCCACCGCACCCAGCCCACACUUAUUUUUGAAAAGCAAUUCUUGAUUUCAUUUAUUUAAAAAGGAUCCUCUCUUCCUUCUGUUACAGUGAUGUGUGUGUGUGUGUGUGUGUCUUAAAUAGCAAAUUGAAUCAAAUUGAUGGCACCCACAGUAGCAUUUUUGGAAACUUAAUAACUUAGAAGUCAAUGAUUUUUGACAUUCUGGUGUUCUCUCUUAGACCCUCAUGUGAGGUUUAGCUGGUGGGUGAAAAUGCAUGAAUGGUAAUAUUUUUUUCAAUGAAAGGAGC
rnacentral:lncRNA from 1 species